rnacentral:miRNA from 1 species
GCUCACUGCUCUUCCUGUCAUC